ACAAACUUGGUCAUUUAGAGGAAGUAAAAGUCGUAACAAGGUCUCCGUUGGUGAACCAGCGGAGGGAUCAUUACCGAGUUUACAACUCCCAAACCACUGUGAACCUUUACCUAUCGUUGCCUCGGCGGCCCCUUUCGGGCGGCCGCCAGAGGACCCCAAACCCUUUGUCUUUUUGCGUGGUUAUCCUCUGAGUGACACAAGCAAAGAAAAUAAAUCAAAACUUUCAACAACGGAUCUCUUGGUUCUGGCAUCGAUGAAGAACGCAGC
rnacentral:misc_RNA from 1 species